CUGGUUUUCACAAUGAUUUGCCAGAUAUUUUUAGAAAUUCUGAGAUCAUUGUGAAAACUGAUU
rnacentral:pre_miRNA from 1 species